rnacentral:rRNA from 1 species
AAUUAAAUUACCAAUUGUUCGCCAAAUAACUACGAGUAAAAACUUAAAAUUUAAAAGACUUGACGGUGCCUCAAAACAACCUAGAGGAGCCUGUCUAAUAACCGAUACCCCACGAUUAACCCAACCCACCCUAGCCUGACAGUCUAUAUACCGCCGUCGCCAGCCUACCUUGUGAAAGAAACAAAGUGAGCUUAAUAGUUAUACACUAACACGACAGGUCGAGGUGUAACUAAUGGGUGGGCCCAAGAUGGGCUACAUUUUCUAAAUCAGAAAAUACGAAUUAACCUAUGAAAAAGAAACUGAAGGCGGAUUUAGCAGUAUGUUAGGAACAACAAACCUAA